rnacentral:lncRNA from 1 species
UGCCCCGCGGGUCCAGCCCCUCCUGGCCGAGGUCCCGGGAGAAGGUGGGGAUGGCCUCCAGGUGGUCGAGUAUCUGCACCAUGUCCUCCUUGCCGUAGCUCACGAGCUCCUCGCUGCUCCUGGGCCAGGCGGCCAGGUCGAACACCUGGCAGGCCUUCACGAAGAUCCGGCUGCGGGAGUCGAACCUCUGGGCCAGGAUGACCUGGGUCUUCUGGCAGAUCUUCUCCCUGAUGGACUGGAACUUGGCCUCGGCCACCCUGAGGUUCUUCACGGCGAUCCCGUUGAAGCUCUCCCGGAAGUUCUCCUCGAACUCCUGGAGGUACUCCCCCGGGGAGUCGGCCAGCCGGCUGAUCUCCUGGAUGGCCUCCUCGAUCUUGUCRUCCACCUGGGACACCAGCAGGUACUCGCCCUGGAAGACGUAGGCCAGGCGCGAGAGGACGGCGAUCACGUCCAGCAGGAAGUAGAUGAGCUUGACCGACUGAUAGUCCAUGAGGAACUGCAGCAGGGCCAGGGCGAUGGCCGAGGCGUCCGCCCGCUGCGUCUGGCUGCUGACGUCCUUGAGGUGGGCCACCACCUCCAGGUAGUCCUUGAUGAGGGCGUUGAGGACGUUCUGCUCCCCGAUGACCCAGCGCACGGCCCGGAUGUCCCCCAGGAACUCGGUCUCCUCGCAGAGGGUGGCGGCCGUGGAGCGCAGCUCGCACAGGAGCCGGGGCGAGUAGCGGUAGAAGCUCAGCAGCUGCUUCAGGUUGUUCUCCAGCUCCUCCAGGCAGGGCAGCUCCUUCCCRCUGAUGGCGUCCAGGAUCUCCAGGUGGGGCCGGUGCACCAUGAAGGGCAGGCACAGCAGCCAGGGCAGCGUCUUGCGGAUGGUCAUGAACAUGCUGGCCCGCAGGCUGGCCGUGAUGUUGGCCCCGUCCACUCCCAAGCCGACCGUGGGCUUCUCGUCCUGCAGCCGGAUGCCCAGGGUGGUGAAGGCCCGGUCCAGCGCCUGGAGGUAGCUCUCUGUGCUGGAGAAGCCCAGCUCCUGCAGGGACAGGAACUCCGUGGCCGGGGGCCCGUCGCUGCUGGUGUACUGGACGUACACGGCCACCGUGUCGGCCAGCAGGUCGUCGCUCUGCCCGUCCAAGAUGAUGCUGAGGCACGGGGACUGGCGGAUGCGCUCCACCAGGUCCUCCCGCAGCGCCCGGGCGAUGUGGUGGACGAGCACCUGGCAGUCGCCCUCGUUCAUGUACUGGUCCACCACCUUGAGCUCACACUUCCUCAGCAGCUCGGCCAGCGGCCGGAAGUCCAGGUAGGGCCUGCCCUCGAGGGCCAGGUGGUAGGCGGUGUUGAAGAGCAGGGUCAUGUUGCGGCACAUCUCCUCCGUCUUCUCGGGGUGCAUGCGGAGCUUGUAGAGCUGCAGGCACUUCUUGUGCAGGUUGCUCUGGCUGUGCAGCUUGAUGGUGUGGAUCUUGAACUGCUUGGAGCCGAUGAUGAAGGCCGAGGUGCGGGAGGACUGCACCGUGUACUGGCG